rnacentral:rRNA from 1 species
UACGAAGGGUGCGAGCGUUGUUCGGAAUUAUUGGGCGUAAAGGGUUCGUAGGCGGAAAUUUAAGUCGGGUGUGAAAUCCCAAGGCUCAACCUUGGACGUGCAUUCGAAACUAUUUUUCUUGAAUGUUGGAGAGGGAAAGGGAAUUGCUGGUGUAGGAGUGACAUCCGUAGAGAUCAGCAGGAACACCGGAGGCGAAAGCGCUUUCCUGACCAAACAUUGACGCUGAGGAACGAAAGCGUGGGGAGCAAACAGGAUUAGAUACCCUGGUAGUCCACGCCCUAAACGAUGAUGACUAGAUGUUGGGGGAAUUGACCCCCUCAGUAUCGCAGCACACGCAUUAAGUCAUCCGCCUGGGGAGUACGACCGCAAGGUUAAA